AACGCACAUUGCGCCCGCCGGCAUCCCGGCGGGCAUGCCUGUCCGAGCGUCGCCUCCACCCGUCAAGCCCCGCUUGUGCUGGGGCCCCGCGGCCGCCGCGGGCCCCGAAAACUAGUGGCGGGACCGCCGCCGCGCCGGGCGAGGUAGCCCUUCCGCCCCGGCGCGGCCGCGGCCUCCGGCCUGGAGAGCCCCGACCGCCGUCCGUCGACCUCGGAUCAGGUAGGAAUACCCGCUGAACUUAA
rnacentral:misc_RNA from 1 species